UUUUCGUUUCUAUAUUCUUCUCCCGCCAAAACUAUCGUGAACCUUUUUCCCCCCUCGGAGAGCUUUGUACGGUCCAAUCGCCACGCCAUGACCGGAGAAAUGGCGGUGAACGGGAAGAUUCAACAGAAAUUGACGACGCCGAUCGGUCUCGGUAAAGCACUGUCGGUUUAUUUCCCCGGUGUCGAUUUCCAUGUCGGUGACCCUCAAUUCCGAUUAGCCUCUGAGCUUGUUCGCUUCUUCUCUGCUCCUUCCGGUGAACAAUUCGUUUCUCAGGUGAAGGAGGUUGAUGGCAUGUUCUUAUUGCCACUGGACUUUCAGCAAUUCCGAAAACUUUGCGAGCUCCAAGAAUUUUAUACAAUUUUAGAGAGUAAAUCUAAAGAUGCUCUGUUGUGUAUGAGUGCUGCAUUACACAAGGUUUACUUUAUGAAAUUGGGGGAUGACAGUUUUGAUGAUUUUGUGAAGAUAAAUAUACGUCUCCACAACUAUCCUCAAUCAAUGAUUGCAUUGAAGAACCUAAAAGCUGCUUAUAUAGAUAGGCUUGUCUCUGUACGUGGUACAGUGGUAAAAGUUAGCACAGUUAAGCCUCUGGUGAUGCAAAUGUGUUUUGUAUGUACCAAGUGUGGAACCAGUAUUACUCGUGACUUUCCAGAUGGAAAAUUUUCACCUCCACCAGUAUGUGAAUUGCAUGGUUGUAAAUGUAGGACUUUUAAUCCCAUAAGGUCUACAGCUCGAAUUAUAGACUUUCAGAAAAUAAGAAUUCAGGAGCUGCUGAAAUCUGAACAUCAUGAAGAGGGACGGGUACCUCGAACUGUUGAAUGUGAACUAACUGAAGAUCUUGUGGAUGCAUGCAUCCCUGGGGAUAUUGUGACUGUCACUGGUAUUAUUAGGGUGAUUAACAAUUACAUGGAUAUUGGAGGAGGAAAGUCGAAAGGCAAGAAUCAAGGACUUUAUUAUUUGUACCUAGAAGUAGUUUCUAUUACAAACUCGAAGUCUCAGUCAAUGCCUGAGGGUUCACAAGAUAACCCUAAUGCUCGAGCUACAGACCUACUUGAUUUAUACUCAUUCUCUCCAAAGGAUUUGGAGUUUAUUGUUAAGUUUUCUGAAGAACACGGUUCUGAUGUCUUUCGACAAAUACUUCAAUCUGUUUGCCCCUCGAUCUACGGUCAUGAGCUUGUUAAAGCGGGAAUUACAUUAGCUUUAUUUGGUGGUGUACGGAAGCAUUCCAUGGAUCAGAAUAAGGUUCCUGUGAGAGGAGAUAUCCACAUAAUAAUUGUCGGUGAUCCUGGAUUGGGUAAAAGUCAACUACUUCAAGCGGCAGCUUCCAUUUCUCCCCGUGGCAUAUAUAUUUGUGGUAAUGCAACAACUAAUGCUGGCCUUACUGUUGCUGUUGUCAAGGAUCCUUUGACCAGUGACUAUGCGUUUGAAGCAGGUGCUAUGGUUCUUGCAGAUAGUGGAUUAUGUUGCAUUGACGAGUUUGACAAAAUGUCUGCUGAACAUCAGGCCCUAUUGGAGGCUAUGGAACAACAGUGCGUCUCUGUUGCAAAGGCAGGACUUGUUGCAAGUUUGUCAGCGCGAACAUCUGUUUUAGCAGCAGCAAACCCUGUUGGUGGCCACUACAACCGUGCAAAAACUGUGAAUGAGAACUUGAAGAUGAAUGGUGCUUUGCUUUCACGUUUUGAUUUGGUGUUCAUAUUACUUGAUAAACCUGAUGAGGUUCUGGACAAGCGACUCUCUGAGCAUAUUAUGUCACUUCAUGCAAAGAGUGUAGAGCAGCCACCAGUCGCAAAACGGUUAUGUACAGCCUCGCUGGAUGUUGGAGAAAUUGACAUGAAUACAAAGCAGGGUUCUUUAGUUGCAAGGCUGAGACUUGACCCUAAGAAAGACGGUGGUUUUGUUCCAUUGCCUGCCCCUCUUCUGCGUAAAUACAUUGCUUAUGCAAGAACUUAUAUAUUUCCUAGGUUGUCAAAUGCGCUUCCUUUUAUGUUUGAAAGUUUUAGCUACUCUUUGAAACGUUCAUUUAUCUUCUUGUCAUUUGGUGCAAGGAUGACAAAACCAGCAGCAGAAAUCUUGCAGAAGUUUUACUUGAAGUUGAGGGAUCAUAAUACGUCCGGUGAUGGUACACCAAUAACAGCAAGGCAAUUAGAGAGCUUGGUAAGGUUAGCAGGAGCUCGAGCUAGAGUAGAUCUAAGAGAAGAGAUAACUGAGCAAGAUGCUCUGGAUGUUGUGGAAAUAAUGAAAGAAUCAUUAUACGAUAAGUAUGUUGACGAACAUGGAUUUGUGGAUUUUGGACGAAGUGGGGGAAUGAGUCAGCAGAAAGAAGCAAAACGGUUUUUGAGUGCCUUGCAUAAGCAAUCAGAAUUGCAGCAAAAGGAUUGCUUUUCAAUUUCUUAUCUAUUUUUCAGGAAAUAUAUAGUCUGGCUGAUCGGAUUGCAUUAAUGGUUCCAGAUAUCGAUACAUUCGUGGAUAAUCUUAAUAGUGUUGGUUAUUUACUAAAGAAGGGUCCCAAAACAUAUCAGGUUCUAUCUUCAUCUUAUUCACAAACAUCAAGGUCAAGAGGAUAGUCGAGCAACACUAAGGCCACAACUAAAUCAUGUAUCAUUCUGUUUAUUUUCGAGAAGAAGUGCCGUUUUGGCUUCUAAUAUGUUCCUUUCAUGUAAAUAGUUUUAACUACGUGACAUUUUAGGCUAUCCUGAAGAAAUCAAUACAUGUAUAUUGAGAGCAAAUAUUGAGUAUAAGCCCAGGUGGUUCUUUUACCAUGCUCUAAAGAAAGAGCUAGAAAGUACAAGUACAGCAUUAUGUAACUCAUUAAUUGAUGUAUACACCUUAUGAACUUUGGUAAAACACACUAAAUAUAAUUGCUAUUGACCAUCA